rnacentral:rRNA from 1 species
GAUGAACGCUAGCGGCAGGCUUAACACAUGCAAGUCGAGGGGCAGCAUGAGGGUUAGCAAUAACUCUUGAUGGCGACCGGCGCAAGGGUGCGUAACGCGUGAGCAACUUGCCCGUUUCUGGGGAAUAACCGGUGGAAACGCCGACUAAUACCCCCAUAGCAUUGAUUUCAGGCAUCUGUUAUCAAUUAAAGAAUUUCGGAAACGGAUAGGCUCGCGUGACAUUAGGUAGUUGGGGGUGUAACGGACCACCAAGCCGACGAUGUCUAGGGGUUCUGAGAGGAAGGUCCCCCACACUGGUACUGAGACACGGACCAGACUCCUACGGGAGGCAGCAGUGAGGAAUAUUGGUCAAUGGGCGAGAGCCUGAACCAGCCAAGUCGCGUGAGGGACGACGGUACUAAGUAUUGUAAACCUCUUUUGUCAGGGAACAAAGAGACCACGCGUGGUAAGAUGAGUGUACCUGAAGAAAAAGCAUCGGCUAACUCCGUG